UUACUAUCUUUCUUUAAUUCUUCAAAAACAUCUUCUCUCAUUUCUCUCUAAGCCCAAACUUUAUCCUUCAUUUUUGAGAAACUUAGAGGCUUCCAAUCACAAAACCUUCAACUACAAAGUUGUUUCGCUACUUGAAAGGAAUGCAAAGAGCUAAGGAUCAAUAGUUGAGAUUUCUAGAGGGAGCUGCCUGUAAACAUCCUUUAGUAAAUCACCAUGAAGUAAGGCGUUGUUUACAUCAAGCUGAUGAAUGUCCAUAUUAUGAAUAAAUGCCACUGCAAGUAGUACACGGAUUGUUUUCAUUUUAGCCACUGGGGAAAAGGUUUCAAAGAAGUCCAAUCCUUUAAUUUGAUUGUAUCCUUUGGCCACUAAAGGUUAUUAACAAUGAUCAAUGGAGCCAUCCUCUUUCAUCUUGAUUUUGUAGACCCACUUACUACCAAUAGGCUUAGCACCAGGAGGUAGACCAACAAAGGACCAAGUUUUGUUAGCUUCAAGAGCUUCCAACUCUGGCUGCAUGGCCCAACCCAACAUUCUUCUGUGCAGGCCUUUUUGUAAGAAAUUGUCUAAGUCAAGAGAGAAAGACAAAAUUGCUUGUGGGUGGGAGAUAGAUGACUGCUGCUGUCAUAAAGAUGAAUGGGAUAUGUAGUGGAGAGGGCAUUACUACCUACAGAAGGCACAUCGUAGUCCAGAAAGUGCACAGGAAUCCUCCUAACACAUUGAGAUCUUCUUAAGGAGUCAGAAUCGGUGGAAGCAAGCAGGUCUCAGAUAGGUGAGUUGACUCGGAACUAGCUAGUUGGUGAUGGAGUAUGAUCAGGGACCAAGACUAGGUGACUGGUACCAUGGCUCAUAGCAGGCAGACCGAUAUCAUGACUCAUAGCAGACUGAUGAACACUUGUGUCAAGGUAUUGCCAUUGUGAAGCACCCACUUUGGUGCAAGGAAAACAUUGUCUUACGGAACUUUACAUUUCCGGAGACAACAAUAGCAUGUGCGGAUCUAACACCACAAAUCCUUUAACACCUGCUUUGUAUCCAAGGAACACUCCCUUGCUAGCUCUUCCAUCAAACACCACAAAUCCUUUAAAUUGUCUUUCUACCAAUAACACAAAUUGUUUAAUAUGAUUUGGUGCUUCGUGUUUGCCUUUUAAUAAAAUUAUUUAGGUAUGUCUACUUUGAUCAUCAACAAUAGUAAGAAAGUAUUUGUGACCAUAUGGACACUAUGAGUGGAAAAGGGACCCCAUAGGUCCAUGUGUAGUAAAUCAAAGCAAGUUAAAGCUUUACUUUGACUAAGAUUAUAAAACAGCUUCUUUUGUUUAGACAUGUGGCAAAUGUCACAUACACAAGCUUUAUUAAUAUGAAUAAAAGGAUACACUUUAUGCAAAAGUUAUAAUUUGGCAAGAGAGGUGUGGCCAAACCUAAAAUGCCAAAGUGCAGAUUGAGGAAUAGAAAUGGAAGUACAGAAAAUAUUGCCUAUUGUAUUGUGCUCCAAAGAAGCUACAUUAA